rnacentral:rRNA from 1 species
GUGAGCGCCCGCCAGAGUCCAACCAAACUCUUGUAUUAAACCAGUCGUCUGAGUAUAAAAUUUUAAUUAAAUUAAAACUUUCAACAACGGAUCUCUUGGUUCUCGCAUCGAUGAAGAACGCAGCGAAAUGCGAUAAGUAAUGUGAAUUGCAGAAUUCAGUGAAUCAUCGAAUCUUUGAACGCACAUUGCGCCCCUUGGUAUUCCGAGGGGCAUGCCUGUUCGAGCGUCAUUACACCACUCAAGCACUGCUUGGUAUUGGGCAUCGUCCGUCGAAAGGCGGGCGUGCCUCGAAGACCUCGGCGGGGUUUCUCCAACUUCGGGCGUAGUAGAGUUAAAUCAAAACGUCUUAUAAGCUUGGUGAGAUCUCAUUGCCGUUAAACCUUUUAUUUUUCAGGUUGACCUCGGAUCAGGUAGGGAUACCCGCUGAACU